rnacentral:rRNA from 1 species
UGGGGAAUAUUGCACAAUGGGGAAACCCUGAUGCAGCGACGCCGCGUGAACGAAGAAGGUAUUCGUAUCGUAAAGUUCUGUCCUAUGGGAAGAUAAUGACAGUACCAUAGAAGAAAGCUCCGGCUAAAUACGUGCCAGCAGCCGCGGUAAUACGUAUGGAGCGAGCGUUGUCCGGAAUUAUUGGGCGUAAAGGGUACGCAGGCGGUUUAAUAAGUCGAAUGUUAAAGAUCGGGGCUCAACCCCGCAAAGCAUUGGAAACUGAUAAACUUGAGUAGUGGAGAGGAAAGUGGAAUUCCUAGUGUAGUGGUGAAAUACGUAGAUAUUAGGAGGAAUACCAGUAGCGAAGGCGAAUUUCUGGACACAAACUGACGCUGAGGUACGAAAGCGUGGGGAGCAAACAGG